rnacentral:misc_RNA from 1 species
CCCCAUAGAGCUGCUUGAGACGCAUACUCAGUAUUUUUAGAAAGGUCAACUACAUUAGGGGCGUGAAUUUCCAAAAACUGGCAUUCCAUUGAUUCUUGAAUGUGAUGUGACCAAUUCAUGGUUUGCUUUUCAGAAGUUGACUGGGCAAGAAGCUCCAGUACCAUUAUCUGAUAUCCAAUGAUACCUCCAAUGCAAUCAUAGAACUGUUC